UACGAAGGGGGCUAGCGUUGCUCGGAAUCACUGGGCGUAAAGGGUGCGUAGGCGGGUCUUUAAGUCAGGGGUGAAAUCCUGGAGCUCAACUCCAGAACUGCCUUUGAUACUGAGGAUCUUGAGUACGGGAGAGGUGAGUGGAACUGCGAGUGUAGAGGUGAAAUUCGUAGAUAUUCGCAAAGAACACCAGUGGCGAAGGCGGACUCACUGGCCCCGUAACUGAACGCUGACGGCACGAAAGCGUGGGGGAGCAAACAGGGAAUUAGAAACCCAUGGUACGUCCGAAG
rnacentral:rRNA from 1 species